UACGUAGGGUGCGAGCGUUGUCCGGAAUUACUGGGCGUAAAGAGCUCGUAGGUGGUUUGUCGCGUUAUUCGUGAAAUCUCACGGCUUAACUGUGAGCGUGCGGGCGAUACGGGCAGACUAGAGUACUGCAGGGGAGACUGGAAUUCCUGGUGUAGCGGUGGAAUGCGCAGAUAUCAGGAGGAACACCGGUGGCGAAGGCGGGUCUCUGGGCAGUAACUGACGCUGAGGAGCGAAAGCGUGGGGAGCGAACAGG
rnacentral:rRNA from 1 species